GGAUGUGUUGCUUGGCACCGGAAGCGCAAUCACCCGGGCUGAAGGCUGAACGCCUCUACGACUGUUUAUAUUUUUGAUGAAUUACGUUUGUUCAACUGACACAAUCACAGUGGACUUGCAUUCAAUUUAAAACCGCACGACGGUUAGGUUUUUACCAAACGACCCAGAAAAGCAACAAAACUGGCCCCUCCUCUACCUGUCACCAUGCCUGCCCUUUUGGAGAGACCGAAGCUUUCCAACGCGAUGGCCCGAGCCCUCCACAAACACAUCAUGAGGGAGAGAGAGCGCAAGAGACAAGUCUGUUUUCCUUCCCCAGCAUCUACUCACUAUUCCCAGGAGGAAGAAGUGGACAAAAUGAUGGAGCAGAAGAUGAAAGAAGAGGAGGAGAGGAAGAGGACGAAAGAAAUAGAGGAGAGGAUGUCUUUGGAGGAAACAAAAGAACAGGUCAUGAAGAUGGGGGAGAAGCUGCAGGGACUCCAGGAGGAGAAACACCAGCUCUUCUUACAGCUGAAGAAAGUGCUUCAUGAAGAGGAAAAGAGGCGCAGAAAGGAGCAGAGGUAUGACAUUACAACAUUGACAUCGGCGAGCUACCAGACCAGCCUGCCCAUGCACUCAGGGCAGCACCUUCUCAGCAUUCAGGGCAGUCCAGUCAGCCACAGUCGACCUGGUGCACUUCUUGGAGAACGCAGUAAACAGCUGUUCCCUGCUGCUGUGAUUCCAGCUCGUCACUAUCAGACCCCCGGCUUCGGCUCUAGUCCAGCAGAGCACGGACAGUUCAGCGGGAGCCAGGGGGUCCACGAGCCCUACGGGGUGUCUCAGGCCCAGCACCCCUCCACCUACGCCGCUGGACCAUCAGUACCUGUCAGUUUCGCCAGCAGCUCCCAGAUCAGAGGUGCGUCUGCGUUUCAGGCCAUGCAGUACCUCCCCCACCAGCAGACUGGAUACCCCGUCCACAGUCACUUCACCUCCCAGCCUGGGUACAUUCCUGGAGCAGGGAUCCCCCUCCAGAAGCAGCUGGAACAUGCCAACCAACAGUCCGGCUUUACCGAUGCAGUAAGAAAUGACAUAUCAAAUUGACUCCUUCAAAUCAUAGUAUUAUUAUUCAUGUUCUCACAGGGCGCUCUGAGGCCCAUGCACCCACCCACCAUGCACCCGUCAGCUCCUGGACUCCUGCCCACCCCCUCCAUGGGGGUCCAGAUCCCCACUGCAAAGGCCUCGUUCCAGAGCUCUCCCCAGGGCGCCCCUCGCCACGGCUUCCUCCCCCACAGCCAGGGCGGGCAGAGAUUCUACCACCACGGGAAGUAACCCCCCUUCAUCACCUCCACUUCACUCAAGAGAACCCUUUGCUUGAUUUCAGCAGAAAAAGUCAUUAUUGUGCCAUCUGAUUUUAUAUCCUGUACAGUUUGUUUUUUGGACUUUCCUAAUGUGAUCUGCUGAUAACAUGCUUCUGUAACCUUUUUUCAAUUCAACUCAAUUUGUAAAAUAAUUUGAUAUAUUAAAUACACUGUACAGCAGGUGCGAUUGUGCUCAUGUGCACUAAAAUGUUAAUAUCUUCUCGAAACAGAGCUUAUUCUUUGUAUACUAAUAUUCAUUAUUAUCAGUGGAGGAUUCAGUGUUUGCGCAGCGGCUUUAGAGAGGAAGAAUAUGUGGAUUAAAUCAACAUGUUUCCGCUGAAAAUCACGCUCACACUGAUGAAGACCACUGAAACUGAAAGACUCUAUUUCACUGUGUUGCUGACUCCUUGAUCACAUUAGAUCAAUUGUGUUUAGUUACCGCAAAUGAAAUUCAAAUGACUUUUCUGACUAAACAAUGGAGCUUUCCCGUGUUUUCCUCUUCUGCAGAAGUCGGCUGUUUUAACACUUUUGAGGUUGCUAAAUAAAAACUAUAAGCAAGU